rnacentral:rRNA from 1 species
UACGGAGGGUGCAAGCGUUAUCCGGAUUCACUGGGUUUAAAGGGUGCGUAGGUGGGCUAGUAAGUCAGUGGUGAAAUCUCCGGGCUUAACCCGGAAACUGCCAUUGAUACUAUUAGCCUUGAAUGUUGUGGAGGUAAGCGGAAUAUGUCAUGUAGCGGUGAAAUGCUUAGAUAUGACAUAGAACACCGAUAGCGUAGGCAGCUUACUACACAAAUAUUGACACUGAGGCACGAAAGCGUGGGGAUCAAACAGG